UACAGAGGUGGCAAGCGUUGUUCGGAAUUACUGGGCGUAAAGGGCGCGUAGGCGGCCUUCUAAGUCAGACGUGAAAUCCCCCGGCUUAACCUGGGAACUGCGUCUGAUACUGGGAGGCUUGAGUAUGGGAGAGGGAUGUAGAAUUCCAGGUGUAGCGGUGAAAUGCGUAGAUAUCUGGAGGAAUACCGGUGGCGAAGGCGGCAUCCUGGACCGGCAUUGACGCUGAGGAGCGAAAGCUAGGGGAGCAAACGGG
rnacentral:rRNA from 1 species